rnacentral:rRNA from 1 species
UACGUAGGGUGCAAGCGUUAAUCGGAAUUACUGGGCGUAAAGCGUGCGCAGGCGGUUUUGUAAGUCUGUCGUGAAAGCCCCGGGCUUAACCUGGGAAUUGCGAUGGAGACUGCAAGGCUUGAAUCUGGCAGAGGGGGGUAGAAUUCCACGUGUAGCAGUGAAAUGCGUAGAGAUGUGGAGGAACACCGAUGGCGAAGGCAGCCCCCUGGGUCAAGAUUGACGCUCGAUGCACGAAAGCGUGGGGAGCAAACAGG